UUCAAUUUGAAGGAUCAACUCCUCUAUUUUACACCCUUUCCAGUCUUCUCUCUUUGAACUGAGGGAGUAAAGUACAACAACAUGUCUACUCUUCAAUUGGGUAUCAUCCCUUCUUCUUCCUCUCCAAUGUUCUUGGCAAGUAAUUCUCGUAUACCCAAGAAUGUAUUCCCUUCUAUCUCACUUUUUCCCACCAACUUUGUAAAGAAUACUUGCAGAAGAACCUAUAGUCACGGUGACCCAAGAAGGGGUCUUUUCAAGAUUUCUUGUUCUUCCACCUCAGAAAAUCUUAACAAGGGUUCAGAUGUAGUGGUGGUGGAGGAGAAAAGUGUUUCUGUGAUUCUUCUUGCUGGAGGAAAGGGGAAAAGAAUGGGCGCAAGCAUGCCAAAGCAGUAUCUUCCACUUCUAGGCCAGCCAAUUGCAUUGUACAGUUUCUACACUUUCUCCAAGAUGCCUCAGGUGAAGGAAAUCAUUGUUGUAUGUGAUCCUUCUUAUCAAGACAUUUUUGAAGAUGCCAAAGAGUAUAUCCAAGUCGACUUAAAAUUUGCAUUGCCUGGGAAGGAAAGACAAGAUUCUGUAUACAGCGGACUUCAGGAAGUUGAUUCAAACGCCAAACUUGCAUGCAUCCAUGACUCUGCAAGACCUCUUGUACAAACUGAAGAUGUAGAAAAGGUCCUGAAGGAUGGUUGGCUGGUUGGAGCAGCAGUUCUUGGCGUUCCUGCCAAAGCCACAAUCAAAGAGGCAAACAGUGAAUCUUUCGUUGUGAAAACUCUUGACAGGAAAACACUUUGGGAAAUGCAGACACCUCAGAUAAUCAAACCUGAGUUGCUUAAGAAGGGUUUCGAGCUUGUCAACAGGGAAGGACUUGAAGUAACAGAUGAUGUAUCAAUAGUGGAGCACCUUAAACAUCCAGUAUAUAUUACUGAAGGCUCUUACACUAACAUAAAGGUUACAACACCCGAUGAUUUGCUUCUUGCAGAAAGAAUAUUGAACAUUGAAGAAUCUUAGGGUUUUCAAUUUUCUUAGGCUUAUAUUUUUUCAAACAUUAUAUUUCCCUGGAACUUUGUAUUUUGAAUAGGUGAAGUUACCCUUUCACAGAGUUGUCAGAAAAUUGAGUCUUGUAAACUUUUUGGCAAAAGAAAGUUACAUUCUUUCCAAGGUCUCAGCUCAUGG